rnacentral:rRNA from 1 species
CCUACGGGGGGCAGCAGUGGGGAAUAUUGCGCAAUGGGCGAAAGCCUGACGCAGCGACGCCGCGUGAGGGAUGAAGGUCUUCGGAUCGUAAACCUCUGUCAGCAGGGAAGAACGGUCACUGUGCUAAUCAGCAGUGAAUUGACGGUACCUGCAAAGGAAGCACCGGCUAACGCCGUGCCAGCAGCCGCGGUAAUACGGAGGGUGCGAGCGUUAAUCGGAAUUACUGGGCGUAAGGCGCUCGUAGGCGGUAUGUCAAGUCAAGGGGGAAAUCCCCGCGCUAAACGUGGGAACUGCCUUUGAAACUGGCAAACUGGAGUGUGUGAGCGGAUAGUGGAAUGCCAGGUGUAGGAGUGAAAUCCGUAGAUAUCUGGAGGAACAUCAGUGGCGAAGGCGACUAUCUGGCACAUAACUGACGCUGAGGAGCGAAAGCGUGGGUAGCAAACAGGAUUAGAUACCCGGGUAGUC